AACGCACAUUGCGCCCGCCAGCAUUCUGGCGGGCAUGCCUGUUCGAGCGUCAUUUCAACCCUCGCGGCCAUUCGGCAGCGGUGUUGGUCGGUAGCCUCCCCGUAAGGGGGGGUUACGGCCCAAAUACAGUGGCGGUCUCGCUGCAGCUUCCCUUGCGUAGUAGCACACCUCGCACCGGAGAGCAGCGUGGCCUCGCCGUAAAACCCCAACUUUUUAGAGUUUGACCUCGGAUCAGGUAGGAAUACCCGCUGAACUUAA
rnacentral:misc_RNA from 1 species